CCAUUUUGCAAUAAAUACUAUGUUAAUAAAAGUCAUUCGGUUCAAAUUGCCCCAACUCGGGGCCAAAAUGCUAUUCAAAAUCCCCAGGGUGGGGAUGCAAUUGAUGAUCAAAUACCCCACAUAUGCCCGACCCCCCCUCGGGUGUUAACAUUGAUAGGUGCAUUAGGUGUAUGCAGACUGGAAUACAAGUUAAUAUCACUGCCUGUGAAAUUGUGGUUUAUUUAGAGAAUAAAGGUUUUUUGAACUCUUCUAUAAAUAAAUUAUAACAGCAAAAGAUUCAUAUGCACCCAUAUAGGGAAGGCUUACAUGCUACAAGUUAAAAUGAGUAUUACAUACUCCUGCACUUGAAAAGUUUACAGCACAGUAUAUACAUUAAAUAAUCAAAUAUAUAACAGUAAAUCCCAAGAUUGGAUUUAUUGAAACUAGUCAUUAACUAGUUCUUCGCAAUUAAAUAACACAAAGACAAAUUAAUAAAAGUUAUUAACCAUU